rnacentral:lncRNA from 1 species
UGUAAGGGCAUGUUUGGUUCAUGGCCACACAUUGCCAUGCCUAACCUUAAGUAGUAGCCACAAGUGUGGCAAGCCAUAAACUGUGGCAAAAACAAGGUGUUUGGUUAGUGACUAAGGUUUGGCAAAAUAAAUGUGGCUGCUGUUUGGAUAGUUACCACAAAAGCAUGGCAAAAUAUUGUGGCAUGUGUUUGGUUUGCAACCACAAAUGAAUGAAAAAUACCUCAUUGCCAUAAACUGUGGCAAAAACAAGGUGUUUGGUUAGUGACUAAGGUUUGGCAAAAUAAAUGUGGCUGCUGUUUGGAUAGUUACCACAAAAGCAUGGCAAAAUAUUGUGGCAUGUGUUUGGUUUGCAACCACAAAUGAAUGAAAAAUACCUCAUUGU